rnacentral:lncRNA from 1 species
CAGGUCGCCAUCUAAUUACAAGAGCGUCAAUAAGAAGCCUCUGCAGGAUGGCGCAAAUACCACUGUGGAGUUUUACCUUGUCCAUAAAUGUAUUACCGUUUACAGAAUACCAGGCUACCGGACAGGUGUACAGCAGCAACAACGCUGGUAGCGACAUUUUUUGUGACGCAUCGUGUAUACAGAGAGCACAUAAAGAUGCAAUGACCUUUCAUAUUCUACUUAACUGCUGGCGUAAAGCGUUUGGUUGCGAUAUAUUCAUUAACGUGCAAUCCUUUUACGAUUUUUCUUCUAUGAGAAAACUUGUGCAGCCCAAAAACGUUUCAUACGUAUUCCAAAAAAUUGCAUUUUGG